GUUUUCAUUCGUUCAUCUUUUGUUUGAUCGUUAGUUAGUUAGUUACUAAAAAUAAUAAUGAACACUUGAAAGAUUGAUUUUGGAAGCCCUAGAUGUAUUGCUGCUUCGAUUCGUCCUAUCGUUUGGAAUAAUGAAAGCAGAGAAUCCGAGAGUUCCGAAAUGUUCUGAAGCACAGUGAAGCACAGUGAAGCACGGUAACGAUACUCGUAAAAGAGCAAACGAUACAAAUAAAACGUAGACGUGACAGUGUAAAUGAGAGUGCAAUAGAAUUAUAAGACUGACAAUGAGAAUGUAAGAAAGGUUUUUCUAAUGAAAUUUUCGAGGCUAACUUUUGAAAGCGUGAAACACGAAAAAAAUAUGAAUAGCGCGGUUUCGAAUAGUAGGAUAUUAAAUAUUUGAAUAGUCGAAAUCCAUCCAAACGUUUCGAAAGAUUUUUCGUACCGUUUCUACUCGCGUUUUACGAGUAUCGUUGUUUCGAUCUACACAUAUCCUAAUUAUGGCAUUAAAGAAUAUUGCGAUACGCGUAAGGAUUUCGAUUCGUUUUUUAUUUUGUUUGUUUUUAUACGAACUUUUACACGGUUCGAUAAGUACAAAUUACAUCGAUUUAUUUUUAGUGGAAUCGUUUGCUAGUCGCGUUACGUUGUUAAAGUUACCGUAGAAAUGGUGUGAAAUAAAAAAGAGAAAGAAACUGUCGCGUAUGAGUGAUAAUUCACGCUUAGUUAGUUAUUUACUGUUCCUUAUAGAGAAAUGUAACAAAAGUAAAAGUAAUAAAUGAUGAUGUGAUAUUCUAAUUUACACAA